rnacentral:tRNA from 1 species
GAGGGCAUAGCUCAGUGUUAGAGCAUGUGCUUAGCAUGCACGAGGUCCUGGUUCAUUCCCCAGUACCUUGA